GAUAAUAAUUGAUGUUGGUAGUCAUCGAUUGCUGCCCAGCACUAGCAACGCCAUUUUUAACUCUUACCUGGUCACUCUGCAGUGGUUCAACGUGAUUUUGUGCUUUUUUGAAGAUUGGAAAAUUACUGUCAUCCACAGCAACUUUUAAUUAUGCAAGCCAACGAAGAGAAUCCGAUCGCUUUGACGCUGGUUCAACGCAAAAUUCUUGAAGAUGUAUAUUGCUAUGGAGUGUACCGUUUGAGCCGGAAAGAGAAGCAACGUGACAACGUGCUGCGUAAAAUUCGCAUUUUGUACCAGGAUUAUUUCGGUUGUCCCGACUUCAAUGAUUUACAACAGGGCAUGUUCAUCAAAAUGGUCAAAGUGAUUUACCAGUUAAGUGAUUUGAGAAAGGUUCUUGCUGAGUUAGAAAGAAUCCUCGUCAGUAACACUUUCUAAAUAAUAAAGCAUGUGAAGUGUCACAAGAGAAACAUC